rnacentral:tRNA from 1 species
AUUUAAGUAGCUUAUAGAGAGCAUAGUAUUGAAGAUACUAGGGAGAUAAUUAUCCUUAAAUA